GUGGUGCUCUUGUGUAACUUCAUGCAUGUUCCAAAAACCCCCGCAGUACAGUGGAACACCGCUGGAUUUGAGGACAUUAUGUAACCUCAGAAAUUGAGACAAGGGGUUAACGGGGACACUCCCCCGCCAGACGGACCGGCGCUGCGCGCGAGAGGAAACGGAGAGGGGAGGGAGGCGGGGGUCAUUCGCGCGCGUCGGGUUUCACAAAACACAUACAUACACACAGUUGCACACGCAGGCACGUGACUCCGAAUGGCCGCUGUGGCUUCCUCUGCCUCGCGCGGAUCUCCGUUCCCACUUCCCGUCUCCACGUCCGAGUCGGUCCGACGCGCGCGCCGUUUCUGAUCCCGCAUUCCGGCUUAACAUUUGGAGGUCACUUGUGCACGGGGAGGGUCACACACACACACACACACACACACACACACACACACACACACACACACAGCACGAGAAAACAGCGGCACGACUCACUGGAGUAACAUCAUCACAUCACAGCGCAUCGCGUCAGACCCGAAGAGAAACUUCCAUCGGUCGCGAGACGCCGGUGGGCGGAGCCAACAGGUUACAGCUCACAGGUAUUCAUGAGUAGUUGUUGUUUUUUCCUUGUUCUCGAAACUUAGCAUUUCUCAUUCUGACAUGUUGUUAUUUAAAGUUGAACUCUUCCCUCGAGCACAUUAAAUCUGUUUGGAUUGGAAUAUUCCUCCUGUGUUUAAAGAGUGAGUGCUGGUUGACGUCGAUGUCGAUGCGUGUGGCGUUAUUCCGGUGAGAAGUCCGGGGUUGUGCGGCGGCUCUGGCGUCACACGGGGACAUCAGGGGUUAUAUAUCGUUUCAUCAUCACUGAUAUCGAACGUAAAGCGAUGACGGCCAGGCUCGAGACGGUAUUGAUGAGAAACCCAGCGUAGACGUUGAAGCGACUCGGCUCGGCACGACGAGCCGGACAGACCGAAAGACCAAAGCGCCGCCGCAUCGCUCAGUUUUCCUAUAGAGGACGCACGGGCUAAUAUUCCGGGUAAACCGAGGAAAAUGAUCUAGUGUUACACAUCUGUGAGGGACGAAACUACGUGAACGUCUAGGAUCGGACUCGGGUGUUUUCGGUCAGUGGGUCGACGAUGAGGUAUGAGUGAGUGAGCGGUGUGUUUUGUUUAUUUAUUUUUUCAAAACAGGAAUCUGUCAGAGUUUGGUCUUCACAAGACACGUUCGUGGAAGUGUAUCACGGCACAGAUGAAGGAGAUUUCUGAGGACCUCCAAAAUCUCUAAAGAGUCUGGACUCCACCAAUCUACAAGUCGGACAGAUUGUAUACAAAUGGAGGAAGUUUAAGACCGUCGUUAUCCUCCUCAUAUAGUCAUUAUAUUAACGGGAUACUUGGUUACCAAUUAUCCCAUUACGCAAUGAAUCAAAUACUCAAUGUUGGUGCAACUCGGUCCUGACGACGUACGAAAAGUUACAGGUUUACCUGCGACAAAGCAUUAACACUGGAGACUCCUUCCAUACAUUUUUAAAUGGACAUCUUCACCGUAACGACGAUUACACACGUUUAAAAAACAUUUAUUUAAAAAAAAAUAAAAAAUCCGUUUACGUCAGGCGUCCGCCGUAUGAGUCGAGACCCGAGCUGUUACUAUAGAAACGGUGACGAAUUAGACAGCGCACGUUAAUAUAAUAAACCUGCGCUACUGUCGCUACUUCUGACCAAUCAGAAUCCAUGAUGUUCGAAGCAGUAAUUUAUGCAAAUUCAGCACGCUUAGUCACUGUUUAUUCACUGACAAGUGUGUUCAUGUUGUUUUGUUCUACCUCAAUCAGUUCCACCAGAUCCAGCAGAAAGAGAAAAAAAAAGAGAACACUUUUCUCCCUCUACACUUCCUUAUAAGAUGAAUGCCAGAACACAGAAUGGAAAAACCAAGAGGGGGAAAAAAAAAACGUGAUAGUGACUCAACAUCUCCUGGCAAAAAUAGUUUUUCGUUUUCAGCCGCUGAGUUUAUUUAACUUAUUUUUUUUCCUCACAUGGUCCUUGGAACAGAUUGUUUUCUGGAAGAGGACGGCAGAAGGACUGGACGUUUUGUAGAGGACCGGAGUGUGUCAAUGUGGAGUGUACCAAAAAAAAAAAAAAAAACUAACGCGCGCACACACAAUGCAGUGGAUUGUGAUUGUGACAAUGGUGCUAUUGUUGCGGGGCUUAGCAUAGCGCUGUGUCACUGUACCGGGUCCUGAUGGUGUCAAACUGUCAGAUCUACAUUUAAAGCACAAGUUAAACCAGUUAGGGAUUGUUGUGCUUUUGUUGUGCACCAAAGUUCCUCGUCGUAUAUUCUUUUGCGGCAAAACUUACUGGUGUUUUUCCUGAAAAACCCCCAACACACCGGGCCUCAAAGCAUCACGCUCGAGUUCUAUCCUCUGCGAGUUCGAGUUUCAGUCUAGGUUACAGCUCAGCGUGGCGGUCGUUUGGGGUGUGAAGCACUCUUCAGCUGGACUGGGUGUCAUAAAUCCUGAUUAGUCUCUUGACUUCCUACACAUUUUAUACUUCAGAGGCUGUUAUCUCCGGAAGCCGUUCUCAGAAGUUGUUUAGGCUCUGAAGCAACCAGACAUAGAUUUUUUUUUUUGGUCUUUGUUUCUGAAGGACAUAUAACUGAAGAGAGCCGGCCCUGGUCCUGGACUGUGGCAGCUCUGGCAGUGGGGUCUGUUUCGCUUUCAGUUCUGCAGGUUGUUUGCGUCCGAGUCAGGUGCUGUUUCUUUUGGCACUGCGAGCAAGCUUGAAGAAAAUAUAUCAAAUAUUUCUGACGAAUGCAGGUUCUGUUUUUGGAGUUAGGUGGCGUCACUUGAAGCGGUUUUACUCUGGAAGUAGGUUUCAGGAAGACUCGCUUCUGAGGAAAGCAGGCUCUGGAUUCUGGAAUUAACUUUGGGAACAGGUUUGUUUCUCAAGAUAAUUAAUUCUGAGAGCAGGCUUUGAACGUAGAGACCGUUAUCCCUUUAUCUGGAGGUUGUUCAUCUCUAAAGGAAGUAGGUUCUGUUAUUUCUGGAAGCGUGCUCUAAAGAUAGCUGGCUCGGAUUCUGGAGAAGCAGGUUUUGGCAUUGAAGAAAACAGAGUUUGUUUCUGGAAGACAUUAUUUAUGGAAACAGGCUCUGUUUGUGGGGUCUUGGCUUUUAUUUCUAGAAGCUGUUAAGCUACGAGCUGUUAAACAGGCUCUGUUUAUUUAUAUAAGUUGUUCAUUUUAAGCAGAAUCUGGAUAUUCACCACCUUGGAUAUUUUUGGAAUCUGCUUGGCUCCAAUUAAAGCAGGCUCUGUUCCUGGAAAGUGUUUUGUCUCGAGACAGGUUCUGUUUCUUAAAAACAUUAGCUCUGUAGCUGGGUUCUGUAUCUGUAGAACUCUGAAGGCAGGUUGUGUUUUCGGAGAUCAUUACCUCUAGAGACAGGUUCUGCUUCUGGAGAACAUACAUUUUGGAGACAGGAUCAGUUUCUGGAGAACGUUAUCUCUGGAGACAGGUUCUGUUUCUGGAGAACGUUAGCUCUAGAGACAGGUUCUGUUUCUGGAGAACGUUAGCUCUGGAGACAGGUUCUGUUUCUAUAGAACAUACAUUUUGGAGACAGGAUCAGUUUCUGGAGAACGUUAUCUCUGGAGACAGGUUCUGUUUCUGGAGAACGUUAGCUCUAGAGACAGGUUCUGUUUCUGGAGAACGUUAGCUCUGGAGACAGGUUCUGUUUCUGGAGAACGUUAGCUGUGGAGACAGGUUCUGUUUCUGGAGAACGUUAGCUCUGGAGACAGGUUCUGUUUCUGGAGAACGUUAGCUGUGGAGACAGGUUCUGUUUUUGAAGACAAGUUCUGUUUCUGGAGAACGUUAUCUCUGGAGACAGGUUCUAUUUCUAGAGAAUGUUAUCUCUGGAAGGCUGUGACGUUGGCAUUGAAGAAAUAAGGCAUUGUUUUAGCUCCAGGAGCAGAUUCUGGAAGUACACACUGUUUAUAGAUUGCAUUAGAUCUGGGAUCAGAAUGUGGAAUCUGUUUCUGGAGGCUGUCUGGCUCUGAAGCAAGCUGGCUCUGUUUGUGGAGAACACUCAGCCGUGUGCCAUGCUGUCGGACUGGUACACGGCUGCCAGGAGCCUCCCACUUGUUCAUGUUGAUGUGGUCAGACCAAGUGAGGCGAACAGAUCAGCCCAAACCACACGGACAAAUUAGGGCCGAGGCAUCGAGCCGUGGCAUGCAGAGGCGUAAAACCUCAUUUGCCAAGAAGAGCUUCCGUCGUCCUGCUUGGAGGAGCGAUCAUAAUGUUUUGUCCUUUUUUUUUUUUUUAUAACGGGCUGUCGUUAUCCCCAGCAAUCUGUGUGGUUGUAAAUAGUAGAGAAUGUCUUUCGAGACAUUCAUGAGCGUUUCAUCCAAUAAUCCCAGAUGGUUGUGUCUGGCUAUCAAAGUUGGCACUAUAAACCAUAUAAUCACGGGCACGAUCCGAAACUUCAAGAACCCCCCAACCAGGGGCGCUUUUUAAUACCUAGCAGAGUUACAGCUGCAAUGCUAAUUCUCUCAUAGAGGAGGUUGAAGUAGAUUCUGGAAACGCACCAGACAUUAUUCUGCAUAAUUCGCACAGCGUAAUUUGUUUUCCGAGAUGGUUAUCACAGACGCUACGAGCCAUUAGUAGAUGUUUGAUAAGGGGUUUGCACAUUCGAGCAGUGCUUAUUAUAAUCGCUGUAAUCCAACUGAUGUAGCUGAGGAUGUUUCUCCGAGUGAACAUUGCGUCUAACGCUGCGGUCACCUGACAGCGAGGUUGCGGCGGUCUGGAUUAGCCGCAGUAACAUGUGAUUCACCCUGAAGCGUCUCGGGGGGAGCAGGGGGAGUGUGGGAAAGGCCUGAGAAGUGCAGAGAGAUUGUGAAUGAAAGGCAGGAUUGGGAAGUUAAAACCCCUAUGAUGUGCUGAGACGAGUGCGGAAGCUCCGUGAAUGCUGAUGCUCUUCCGCCAUUAGCGAGUCCACACCAGGACUCGAAUCUAUCGCAAGGCUUAUGAAGGCUUUUCUUUUUAUAUCCCACCCCCCCUCAAACCACCCCGUCUUUUCGGCUAUUUCUCCUGCGUCUUUGAUGGUAUUAAAGUUUUCACGUGUCAGACAGCACGGAUCCAAGCGAGAUGAAGAAUGGAGAGAUGAGAGGGAGAGGGAGCAACUAGGUCAGAGAGAUAGGAUAACUCCGCCGCCUUGUUUCAGCCUCUUAAAGGGGGCACGCUGUGUUCUGCAACACAUUUGGCCAAGUACUCUCACAUGCGCUUACAGUAAAAGAGGUCCCUGCUGCCAAGCGGUCUCUCGUCAGGUGCUUCCCGGUCCAACGCCGUGAUACUCGACUUUAUCUGUGGGAAAGAAGCGGCCCCGGCUUCGACGACGAACCGAACGGAGACGAGGCGGGAUGGUGGGAAUUCUCCCAGUGCUGUGGAGAGAAAGUCUGCGGAAAACAGACGCCACUAAUUUGGGCUUCUUUUUGGUAACAGUUCAUGAAAGGCCCUUAAACAACUCGUAAAGCUUCUACAUUCCUGGUCAAAUUGAAAAAGAAAAGCCCAUAUGUGUAGUUGGGAAGAAAUAGGCCAUAAUCAUAAUAAUAAUAAUAAUAAUCAUGGAGCAUUGCAGUUCUUGGCUUCAUGUCCUUUGCCCGCUAUCAGCAUCCCAACUGGAACAAGCUGUUCGGCCUUCUAUUUGUUGUGAAAGUGCUGACGUGGUUUUGUAAUUCGCCCCCGUUACACUACAGUAUCAUUACACAUAUCAAGCGCCUGGAGUUAAUCAUACCGGACUGUAACUGAACCUGGUGACCUUUUGUAGUGAAAGAGGCUUUUAUAUUUUAUUGUGUAUCAGUGUAGCUGCGUUUCUCCCCCUCUCGCUCUCUCUCUCGGUCUUGCUCAUGGGUUUGAGACGUGCUCGGCCACCUGUGAAAUCUGCACUAUGUUUAUAUUCUCCAGUAACGACCAGAGGUAAAUGUAUUUAUCCACCCCAGUGCUGGUGUGAUCUGGGACUGGGAUUGGAGUUUGUGUGUGUGUGUGUGUGUGUGUGUGUGUAGAAAGAUUAGAAGGAUUAGUGUCUUGG
ensembl:lncRNA